CACACUCAUCAUAGCAGUGGAGCAGGACCAGCUGGGACAGGGUCCUUCUGUGACACCUGCUGCAUCACCAGGCUGUGUGAGCAAACUCAGCUGCCAGACCUCACAGAAUAUCAGUAUCAGCACCGAAAACUCACAGGAAAAAUGUGGCUCCAUGUUUAGUUCCACAAACUUCAGACUUAAACAGCAUCACUGGCUCCUGACCAGGAUUCCAGCUCCAUGAACCUCAAACUAGAACACCAGCCCACCUUCUCCACAUGUGUACGGCUCCAAAACCUAAGACAUCAGUGGCAGUACCUACUCCUCCCGGGGGCUCCAGCUUCAGGACCCUCAGACUUGAACCACAGCACCAACUCUUCCCUGGAUCUCCAGCUCCACGACCCUCAGACUUAAACAACAGAAGGACCAGCUCAUCCCUCCUCCCCAGGUCUCCAGCUCCACGACCUUCAAACUAAAACAACAUCAGCUCCUCCUUGGAUCUCCAGCUCCACAACCCUCAGACUUAAACAACAGCAGCACCAGCUCCUCCCUGGGUCUGCAGCUCCAUGACCCUCAAACAAGGAAAACAUCAGCUACUCCCUGUGUCUGCAGCUCCAUGACCCUCUGAUCAGAAAAACAUCAACUCCUACCUGAGCCUCCAGACGCAGGAGCCUCAAACUGGAACAACAUCAGCUCCUCCCCAGGUCUCCAGCUGCACGACCCUCAUACUGGAACAUCAGCUCCUCCCUGAGUCUUCAGCAGCACAACCCUCAAACUAGAACUUCAGCUCCUCUCCAGGUCUCCAGCUGCACGACACUCAUACUAGAAAAAUGCUGGCUCCUCCCGGGUUGUAGAGCUACACGACUCUUGAACUAAAAAACACCCGCUCCUCCCCAGGUCUCCAGCUGCAUGAACCACAAACUAGAACAACACCAGCUCCUCUUUGGGUCUCCAGCUGCAGGGCCCUCAAACUAAAACAUCAGCUCCUCCCCAAGUCUUCAGCUGCACGACCCUCAAACUAGAACAUCAACUCCUCUCCAAGUCUCCAGUUGCAGGAAACUCAUACUAGAAAAACGCCAGCCCCUUCCGAAUUCUACAGCUGGAUGACCCUCAAAUUAAAAAACACGCGCUCUUCCCCAGGUCUCCAGCUGUAUGAACCUCAAAUUACAACAACACCAGCUCCUCUCUGGGUCUCCAGCUCCAUGACCCUCAAACUAGAGCAACAUCAGCUCCUCUCUGGGUCCCCAGCUGAAAUGCCCUCAAACGAGAACAACAUCAGCUCCUCCUCGAGUCUUCAGCUGCACGACCUUCAAACUAAAACAUCAGCUCCUCUCCGGGUCACCAGAUGCAGGAGACUCAUACUAGAAAAAUGCCAGCUCCUCCCAGGUUCUACAGCUGCACGACCUUCAAACUAAAAAAACCCACUCCUCCCCAGGUCUCCAGCUGCACGAACCUCAAACUAGAACAACACAGCACCAGGACUCUCAAACUAGAGCAACAUCAGCUCUGGGUCUCCAGACCCAGAGGGUCUCCCGCUGCACGACCCUCAAACUAGAACAUCAGCUCCUCUCUGGGUCUCCAGCUGCAGGACACUUAUACAAGAAAAACGCCAGCUCCUCCCAGGUUCUACAGCUGCACAACCCUCAAACUAAAGAAACACCAACUCCUCUCUGGGUCUGCAGCUGCACGAACCUCAGACUAGAACAUCAGCUCCUCUCCAGGUCUCCAGCUGCAUGACAUUCAUACUAGAAAAAUGCCAGCUCCUCCCAGGUUCUACAGCUGCACGACUCUCAAACUAAAAAACACCUGCUCCUUCCCAGGUCCCCAGCUGCAUGAACCUCAAACUAGAACACCAGCUCCUCUCUGGGUCUCCAGCUGAGUGACACUCAAAUGAGAACAUCAGCUCCUUCCCGAGUCUUCAGCUGCAUGACCCUCAAAAUACAACACCAGCUCCUUUCUGGGUCUCCAGCUGUAGGACACUCAUACUAGAAAAUACCAGUUCCUCCCCAGGUCUCCAGCUGCAAGACCCUCAAACUAGAAAAACUCCAGCUCCUUCCAGGUUCUACAGCUGCACAACCCUCAAACUAAAGAAACACCUGCUCCUCCCAGGGUCUGCAGCUGCACGACCCUCAAAGUAACAAACACCAGCUUUUCCCCAGGUCUCCAGCUGCAAGACCCUGAAACUAGAAAAACACCAUCGGCUCCCUGGGUCUCCUGCUCCACAACUCCGAAACUAGAACAACACCAGCUCCUCCCCAAGUCUCCAGCUCUAUGACCCUCCAAUUAAAAAAACAUCAGUUCCUCCCGGGUCUCCAGCUGCAUGACCCUCAAAUUAGAACACCUCUCCCCACUGGAUCUCCAGCUCCACGACCCUCACAGAAGAACAGCAACACCAGCUCCUUAAUUGGUCUUCAGCUCUACAACCUAAGAUGUCAGUGGCAGCACCGGCUCCUCCGUGAACCUCCAGCUCAAUGACUUUCAGACUUAAAAUGCAGCACCAUCUCCUCCCCAAGGCUCCAUCUCCACUACCCUCAGAUUUGAACAGCGGUAGAACCAGCUCCUGUCCGGAACUUCAGCUCCAUAACCCUCCCUGAACAAUCCCUUUUCAUGAAAUUCAGCAGUCAAGAAAACUGCAGCGGAAGUAAAUGAAUAAAUGUUUCGUUUUCA